rnacentral:rRNA from 1 species
AGAACGAACGCUGGCGGCAUGCCUAAUACAUGCAAGUCGAACGAACUCUUCGGAGUUAGUGGCGCACGGGUGCGUAACGCGUGGGAAUCUGCCCCUUGGUUCGGAAUAACAGUUGGAAACGACUGCUAAUACCGGAUGAUGACGAAAGUCCAAAGAUUUAUCGCCAAGGGAUGAGCCCGCGUAGGAUUAGCUAGUUGGUGAGGUAAAGGCUCACCAAGGCAACGAUCCUUAGCUGGUCUGAGAGGAUGAUCAGCCACACUGGGACUGAGACACGGCCCAGACUCCUACGGGAGGCAGCAGUAGGGAAUAUUGGACAAUGGGCGAAAGCCUGAUCCAGCAAUGCCGCGUGAGUGAUGAAGGCCUAGGUUGUAAAGCUCUUUUACCCGAGAUGAUAAUGACAGUAUCGGAAGAAUAAGCCCCGACUAACUCCGUCGCCAGCACGCCGAC